GCCGAGCUGGUGGAAUUGGUAGACACGCAGGUUUUAGGUACCUGUGCCUAUGGUGUGUGGGUUCGAGUCCCACGCUCGGCACCA
rnacentral:tRNA from 1 species